GAUGAACGCUGGCGGCGUGCCUAAUACAUGCAAGUCGAGCGAACGGACGAGAAGCUUGCUUCUCUGAUGUUAGCGGCGGACGGGUGAGUAACACGUGGAUAACCUACCUAUAAGACUGGGAUAACUUCGGGAAACCGGAGCUAAUACCGGAUAAUAUUUUGAACCGCAUGGUUCAAAAGUGAAAGACGGUCUUGCUGUCACUUAUAGAUGGAUCCGCGCUGCAUUAGCUGGUUGGUAAGGUAACGGCUUACCAAGGCAACGAUGCAUAGCCGACCUGAGAGGGUGAUCGGCCACACUGGAACUGAGACACGGUCCAGACUCCUACGGGAGGAAGCAGUAGGGAAUCUUCCGCAAUGGGCGAAAGCCUGACGGAGCAACGCCGCGUGAGUGAUGAAGGUCUUCGGAUCGUAAAACUCUGUUAUUAGGGAAGAACAUAUGUGUAAGUAACUGUGCACAUCUUGACGGUACCUAAUCAGAAAGCCACGGCUAACUACGUG
rnacentral:rRNA from 1 species